rnacentral:rRNA from 1 species
UACAGAGGGGUCUAGCGUUGUUCGGAAUUACUGGGCGUAAAGGGCGCGUAGGCGGCCCUCUAAGUCGAACGUGAAAUCCCCGGGCUCAACCCGGGAACUGCGUCCGAUACUGGAGGGCUCGAAUCCGGGAGAGGGAUGUGGAAUUCCAGGUGUAGCGGUGAAAUGCGUAGAUAUCUGGAGGAACACCGGUGGCGAAGGCGGCAUCCUGGACCGGUAUUGACGCUGAGGCGCGAAAGCCAGGGGAGCAAACGGG